AUAUACGUGAUGUACGAGAAUAGACACCAAGCAGUUAAUUGGUUGCGCUCGGAUGUAAACAAAGCGCAGUACCCCUCAUGCUGCUGCAUAAAAUAAACGUUGUGUGCAUUGAUGACGUUAUGUGCAUUCAUGGCUCCCUGCAUGGCUUAUUUGUGGAAUGCUUGUUAAAAAUGCCAGGUAACACGGAAACAUUUCAGUAGUGCCGAUUUAGAAGCUAUGAGCGAGACAAUGAGGUGUGCCAGCGCGCCCCGUUUCCAGCAUGAUUAGCGUUUUCGCGUGCUCUACGGCGAUUUUGCCAAAGUGCAACGCGUUAAAUGCAAUUUUUUUUUUUACUUACUUCUCGGGCUUAAACGCGCAACUUCGUCGUUCUAGUGUCAUAAAAGCACCAAUGUGUUGUUUUCGGCUUCCAGAAUUCAAUGUGCAUGUGGGAGCCUACGCAUUUACCCUGUAAAUAAUUAGCGCUGUUUUAAGGCCGUUUGCGUGCUUAACAUUGGUUUGAUUGUUUUCAGGGAGAAUGCACGUGCAAGGCCGGUCUCUCUGGUGAAUGCAAACAUUUGUUUGCCACUUUGAUAUAUUUGAACAGGACAAGUGCCACUUCCCUGGAUUCAUUGUCAUGCACGGAUGUGCAACAACAGUGGGGACGUGCCAGUGCCGCCAGCAUCUACAAACCAAGGCCAAUUAGUUUGUUUUGCCACGUCGAGCAGCUUCAACCAAUAAGUGUCCCUGAAGAUGUUCAAGCCCUGAUUAGGAAAGAACGUAUUGAUGCAGUACCAAAUUCUGCACUGGCAAAACACAAAACUCGUGCAAGAAAGUCAAUCCCUUUCACUAGCAAUUUGUACAUAGUCCGCGCCAUCGACACAAUUUUCACACAAGGUUGCUACUUGAGAGAGCACACAAAAUUUUCAUUUUUUGAAUCGGUGCUAGAUGGUGAAAAAACAGUACUGAAAAGGUUUGCUCUUGAACAUCUCAAUGAAAAUGAAAAGAGUUUCUAUCUUCAAAAUGUGUGCCUCUCCUAUGCCAAAGCUAGGGAAAUAUGCCGCGAGACAACUGAUCAGUCAUCCACUCUGUGGCACAGCGAAAGAAAAAAAAUAAUUACUGGAAGCAUCUGCAGAGAACUCUACACGUUUGAAGAAAGAGCUACACGCAGUUGGGAAGCAAAGCUGGACAGGCUGUACUGCAGGGAGCCUUUCAAGGGAAAUGAAGCCACAAUGUAUGGAAAAGACAACGAGCCUCUUGCACUUGAAGAGUACGAGAAGACUCAUAACGAAAGCGUGAGCAAGCUGGGACUCGUCGUCAUUCCAGAUGUUCCUUGACUUGGCUACAGCCCGGAUGGAAUAAGUGAGCAGAGGGGAACGAACAUCUUGCUGGAAGUGAAGUGUCCUGUUCUAGGCAAGCACUCUAGCAUACAAGGCCUUGUAAAUGCUAAGAAGCUGGCAUUUAUUGUGUGUGAUGGAGAAAAUUAUGCAUUGAGACGUGCUCACAAGUAUUAUUCCCAGGUUCAACUGGGCAUGCUCCUCCUUAACAUGAAUCUGUGUCGAUUUAUAGUAUAUUCGAAAGUCGAGAGCCUUGUCAUUCAUGUGCCGAAAGACACCGAGCAUGUUCAGGCACUUGUAGACAGGCUGCAGUAUGUCUACUUCAAAAGGGUACUACUUAAGCUUGUGCAGAUUAGCAAGGCUUGAAAGUAUGUUGGUGUUCAUAGGUUUUUUUCCUUGUUGAUCACUUCCAUUCAGUGGGAGGGGGGAUACAUAGAAGGAAAGCUAUUCAGUACUUUGUAAUAUUUACGAAUUGCAAUAUAUUAAAAAUUAAAUUAUGGGGUUUUACGUGUCAAAACCACUUUCUGAUUACGAGGCACGCCGUAGUGGAGGACUCAGGAAAUUUCAACCACCUGGGGUUCUUUAACGUGCACGUAAAUCUAAGUACACGGGUGCUUUCGCAUUUCGCUUCCAUCGAAAUGCGGCCGCCGUGAAUUGCAAUAUAUGUAGCAGCAAUUAAGCAAUUGUUAAUUUAUAUUUACUGUUCAAUGUCUGCUAAGGAAAGUAUAGCAAAUUGUGAGAACUGAAAUGGCAAGAGUUUUUGAAGCAUCGAAGAAGCAAAAUGAGGAGUUCAAGUUUGGUUCUAGGUUUUGCAGCAUAUGCAUAAAUGGCCACCUGCAAAUUUUGCUUGUAUUCUGUCAUUUAGUGCUUUUGGAUGUCUAGUCAUGGAGUUUCGUUUUUUACUCUACAACCUGUGAUGUUUUCUCUGCAAAUGACACCUUUACAAGUGUCUACAGUGCACAUGUUGCAAAAAAGAGAAGAAAGCUGUUGAUCUUUCUUUUUUUUAAGCAACUAUUUAUUUUGCAUUCUUCGGAAAGCUUGUCACACAGCAGCUCAUAAUUCCUGAAGAGCUUGUUUGCAGUCACUCUAAAGUACUUGAGCGAAUAUAAGUAGUUUCUUACUUGAAAAUUAGUGCUUCUGUGUUUAGAACUGGUCCUUUGUACCUGAUAUAUUUGGCUGCUUUUUUUUUUUACUUGUCAGUACACGCAUCACACCUAUAAACAUACCACAAUAAACAUUCCUCCUGUAAAUGUGUGUCUGUGUUUUGCUAUCUGAUAUUCAAUAUUUACUAUUUAUUAGAAAAUGUUGAUAUUCGCCCUCCUCUCAACUUUCAUAUGUCUCUUAACUGAAUGUGUACACAUCACUUCCAUUUGUAUAGGUUGUCUGAAAAUAAAUGUAUGCCACACGCGAGGCUCUCGCAUGCUCGUAUAUUUGC
rnacentral:lncRNA from 1 species